UUUUUCUGAAAAUUGCAUUUAUUGUGUGACCUAUGUAUUGUCAUUAUUCUUGCUUCAUUGGUCGUGUUGAUAUUCUGGGUUUGGCCCGACAUUGUGUUUUCUUUUGCCUCAUGCCAUUCAUAUUUUGUGGUUGCGUGUGGACAUGAUUUGCGCACUUAUUUCAAUUGUUAGCCGUGUAUCAUGGUGUGCUUUGCCUGCUUUUUCAUGCUUGUGUGAAUUGACCAUGGUCUGUUCUUGUUGGGGUAAAGCCUGAACUGCCGGGUACACUUUGCUUAUUGUCCUUAUUCUGGUUGUCCUUGGCAUCUUUCUAUCAGUGGAGAUCCUUGUUUUCAAAUAGUAGGGAUAGAGGGACAGAAAAGACAUAUUUGUCGCGGCGCUGCAAGUGUUGCCCCCCUCCUCCCCAAGGGCAAGUUGAAGGAAGGUGU
rnacentral:lncRNA from 1 species